GCAUUUGUUCAAAGAUAAGUUGUGGCGUACAGAAUUCUUCCAGCCAUCAGGAGCUGUCUGGAAAAAUAAAUACACUCUAAGAAUCAAACUUGAAGGAAGGAAGUGACCAAAUAUAUACAUCCAUUUUGACUGGCAAUCUCUGACUAAUGAGGUAAACAAAAUUCCCUCCUUGCCUUGAGGAUAGUUUUGCAUAAAACUACAAGAGUGGAAAGAGAAGAAAAUCUAGUGUCAAAAACAUCUCAUUACUAUAGAUGAAAAGAUACGUCAGGUGAGGAAAAAUAUUAGAGCUCAUCAGACUACAAAGAAUAAUCU